UCCUGACUUGGGGUGGCGAAACCCUUCUGAAAGAGAAAUGAAAUGGUGAGAGUGUGUGGACAAGUGCAUGUGCUUCUGCUUUUCCACAGACAGGUACCCAGUGCUGGAGCGGACGGCCCUGUUCAACUAUUUCAAGUUUUAAAGAACAGCAGUCGGGUGGUGUAGUUGACAGAUGCCCCCUCCAGCACCGUUUAGAUGUGUGAGACAAGAGUGAACGAAUCCAGGCCUUACAUGAGAGAUGAAGUCGGUGCUGUCGGAGCUGAAGAGGUCGAGGCUGCGCGUCCCGUACAGUAAGCCCGGCUCUCUGGAGCUCUGAGCGCUCAGGGUGUCGAAGAUCUCCCCGAGCAGGUCCAUCUCCUCCGGGUCAGCCAAGAGAGAAAGAUCUUCGUCUUCCUGUAUGUCGCUGGUGCCAGAACACUGCUCAGGACUUUCUGUUACACUGCAAAGGGAGAUGUGUUUUAAAGAGACACAUUAAACGGCAAAGCUUCCAUGCAUCUGUUCCCUCUCCUCUUACCUGUCCUCAUAGGUGUUGUUGUCGUCCUGUGUCUGUUGCUCCGUGUCCGGAUGGCUGGGGUGUUUGCGCGCCGGCCGCCGUGGUCGAGACUGAAAAACAAAGCAGCAUAGAAAGUGUAGAAAAAAAACAAAGCAUAUUUAGAAAGUAAAGUGCAUAUGCUAUACUGUGGUUGAACACAAGGUGGAGCCAAACUGCUACAAUUUUCACACUUAGGUGGACUGGAUGAUUUGUUUUUUGUUUUUGUUUUUUUAGGUCUUUUGAAAGAAAAAAAUGGACAUUUUCCCAAGUUGCUACCUUUUAAUGCAAUAAAAUAUUAAAAAUA